UGGGGAAUAUUGGACAAUGGGCGCAAGCCUGAUCCAGCCAUGCCGCGUGUGUGAAGAAGGCCUUCGGGUUGUAAAGCACUUUCAGCGAGGAGGAAGGGAUGUAUGUUAAUAGCAUGCAUUUUUGACGUUACUCGCAGAAGAAGCACCGGCUAACUCUGUGCCAGCAGCCGCGGUAAUACAGAGGGUGCAAGCGUUAAUCGGAAUUACUGGGCGUAAAGCGCACGUAGGCGGUUGUUUAAGUUGGAUGUGAAAGCCCCGGGCUCAACCUGGGAAUUGCAUUCAAAACUGGACAACUAGAGUGUGUGAGAGGGGGGUAGAAUUCCAAGUGUAGCGGUGAAAUGCGUAGAGAUUUGGAGGAAUACCAGUGGCGAAGGCGGCCCCCUGGCACAACACUGACGCUCAGGUGCGAAAGCGUGGGGAGCAAACAGGAUUAGAUACCCUGGUA
rnacentral:rRNA from 1 species